rnacentral:rRNA from 1 species
CUGAUGACGACCGGCGCACGGGUGAGUAACGCGUAUACAACCUACCUUUUAGCGGGGAAUAGCCCAGGGAAACUUGGAUUAAUGUCCCAUAGUAUGGAGGUCUCUCCUGAGAUCAUCAUUAAACAUUUAUGGCUAUUAGAUGGGUAUGCGUCCUAUUAGUUAGUUGGUAAGGUAACGGCUUACCAAGGCAGCGAUAGGUAGGGGUCCUGAGAGGGAGAUCCCCCACACUGGUACUGAGACACGGACCAGACUCCUACGGGAGGCAGCAGUGAGGAAUAUUGGACAAUGGGCGAGAGCCUGAUCCAGCCAUGCCGCGUGCAGGAAGACUGCCCUAUGGGUUGUAAACUGCUUUUACAGAGGAAGAACCACUCCCACGUGUGGGAGUUUGACGGUACUCUGCGAAUAAGGAUCGGCUAACUCCGUGCCAGCAGCCGCGGUAAUACGGAGGAUCCGAGCGUUAUCCGGAAUCAUU